UUUUUCUUUUUCUUUUUCUUUUUUUUUUUUUUAAGGAAGAUUAGCCCUGAGCUAACUGCUGCCAAUCCUCCUCUUUUUGCUGAGGACGACUGGCCCUGAGCUAACAUCCAUGCCCAUCUUCCUUUACUUUAUAUGUAGGACGCCUACCACAGCAUGGCGUGCCAAGCAGUGCCAUGUGCGCACCUAGGAUCCAAAUUGGCAAACUUUGGCCCACUGAGAAGUGACCUGCGAACUUAACCUCUGCACCACUGGGCCAGCCCCUCAUCCAUUGUGUUUUUCAUCACAACAAUUCUGAUUGGUUCUUCUUUAAAGUUUCAGUCUCUUUUGUGAAGAAGCUCCUGAAUUAGUUAAUUUGUCUUUCUGUGUUUUCUUGUAACUCACUGAGGUUUUUAUGAUAGCUAUUUUGAAUUCUUUGUCAUUUAGAUUAUGGAUUUCUGUGUCUUCAGGGUUGGCUUCUAGGUACUUCUCAUCUUCCCUCUGGUCUUGAGAUUUAAUACAUUUUCUCAUAUUGCUUAAUGGUGUGGAUUUUUGCCUCUGCAUGGCAUUAUUAUCUGGUCACUGCUGCAAUAUGCCUCCACUGGGUGAGGAUCAGGCACUGUGUAUUCUGGGUCCAGCAUGAUCUGGGGAUCCCAGCUCCAGCCACUAGCUGCUUUUCUCACUAUGCAAUGCUCUGGCAGAUGGCAGAUCUGGAGCACUGGUCAGGGGGAGGGGUGAUCUCCUUCCCCUACACUUCCCUCAGCCUCCACUUCUGACUCUGUGCAGAGUUCUGAGUGAUAGCAGGACUGGAAUCCCAGGCUGGGAAAGGAGCACUUUCUUAUACCUGCAUGCCUCCCCCAGCUGAUGCCUGUCUCUCUGCAUGGUGCUCUGGGCACUCACAAGGCUCCCCUUGCCACUGCUUCUCUCUUCAUGUGGUGCUCCCCAUGAUUGUGUGGCUGGAGCACAGGGCUGGAGCACUGGGCUGGACCAGAGCGCCUCUCCCCAGCUGAGUCACUCCUCUAACCAGCCCCUAUCUCACCAUGCCACUCUCCCAGCGAAUGUAGGGCUGGAGCACGGGGCUGGAGCAUGGGGUGGGAACAGAAUGUCCCUCCCCAGCUAAGCUGCUUAUCUAGCUGUGGGUCUUCUCUCUCCAUGGAGCUCCGAGCAGCUUCACCUUCUUCUGGAGGAUCCAGCCUCACCACCACCUUUGGAUGUAUGACUGCGUGGAUCUCCCAGACAUCUCCUGUGUUGUGUGUGUGUCCUCUGUUGGUGUUUGAAUGUCCCUCUAGUCGUAUUUUAGAAGAGAGAAUCUGAGGGAAGAGCUCACUCUUCUAUAAUGCUGACAUCAGUCUAGCUGCCAAUAUUUUUGUCCCAGAUUUUUGUUUGAUAAAAAUAAAAAUUUAGGUGAAUUAUAUUUAAUGUGAGAUGCAGAAUAAAAAUGUUUAGAACCUUUAGAUAUUCUCCUUGUCUUUGAUUUCCAAAAUCUUUAGUUUAGCCAAAAACUGUGCACAUAAAAAAAACAUGAAGGAUGUAGUUUAUGAGUCUCAACUAUUCUCACAUCAAUACAGAACAAAUAACCAAACUAUGGUAGAACUGCACUGCCACACUCCUUCAGACAUGCUACAUCCAAAGUGAUCUUAUGUCAAUUAGAUGGGUGAUUAAGUUGAUCAGGAUGAGCAAUUCACUCUUCCCUUGUACUAUGUGCAGCUGGAAAAUAAUCAUUGAACUCUUUUUACAGGUGCUGAGAUACAAGAUAAAUAACCCUAGGACUUAAAGAUGUUGAUGAGUUAGCAAAGAAUGUCAGCUUAUACAAGGUUAUUUCUAAAUAUUUGUCAUAGGAGAGACAAGCCUAUUGUGGUUUUCUUUAAUGAGUGUAAAGAUGGAGGUUUCUGAGGGAAAAAAAUUAUAUGGGACCAGGGAUAUCAUGGAAAAAAAUGUCCUGGAGCAAGUAGCAUUUUAACUCUAUCUUGAAGAGUAAGAUUUGAUCAAUAGGGAGGAGCAGUGUGGUAAUCUGAGAGGGAAUGUAAAGGAUAAUUCUAUAAGCCAAAGAAUGAGACAGAGAUGAACCUGGUGUCUUAGUCUAGUUUCACCAGAAAUCAGAGCCUGAGACUGAAGGCUCAUGUGCUAUUAUUUUAUUUAGGGAAUACUACCCUAGGAAACAGGAGUAUGGGAUUAAGAGGAAAAAAGCAGGGAAGAGGGAAGAACCAAGAUGAGGAUACAGUUGUAAAUUGCUGCUGCUAAAUACAACCAAUUGUUCCAACCUGAGGAACACAUCCCCAGGCCCAAAUUCAUUUCAGGACCACAUGUCAAUGGGUGGGGCAAGGAGGAAAACGUAGAAAAAUUUUCGUAAUGGCUUUUAAUCCCCAUUGGUUGAAAGUCUCUCCAUGUGACAUUAACUCCUCCACACUGCCAGGCUGAACAUGUGUGCGUGUGGACACCCAACAGGCUCCCAUUGUAGCAUCAAUAAUAAAGCCCCAGGGCGAAUAUCUUUGAUAUAAAGUUUAAUUUUAAGAAGCUUACUCUAGUGAAAUGAGCAAGUGAAUUAGAGAUGGGGCUUGGAGAAGAGGACUAGGAACAGAAAUGUAUGUUAUCAUGCCUUCGUAAUUCAUUCAGCAGGGAUGGUACAUGAACCAGGACUAUGGCUGCCACAAUAAGAUUGAUAAAGGUACUGGGCCAGGAGUUUGGUCCAUAUUCUACCCCUGACUCACUUUCUGACCUCAGACACAUGAAAUUACUUCUCUGGGCCUCAACUCUCUUGCCUAUACAAUGAGAUCAUCGAACAGCUCUGCUUGCCUCAUGAAGUUAUGAGACUCAAAAGACAAGGUAUUGAAAAGCCUUUGUGAAAUGUGAGAGGUCAUUAUUAUCACCAGAAGGCAUAAACAAGGGGAGUAGUAGCAUUUUUUACUAUUACUUCAUCUAGAUUUAUAGAGAUUGAAAGUCAAACACCAGGAAGAAUCCUUAGGUCCAUAUUCUCAGCGUCAUGUAAACAUAGUCUGCUUACUAAAACAAACUGAAUCCAGUUGCAGCAGUUACCUAGAUGAUUAGAAACUCCAGCAAUUGAAGCAACCCACAAUGAAACAAAAAAAAUCCAAAAAUUGUGUUGAAGGAACAAUAUUGUUCUCAACUGAGCUCUCCAGAUUGCUUACAAUAAACAAAUUUCCUAAAUUUAGAAUCUUAGAAGUUCUCAAUCACAAUUUGCUUUGUAAGUACCAAACUGUCUCAAUCUGUAACUGCAGAAAUUUCAUAACUAUUGCUUUGUAUACACUAGCAAAACUAAAUUUUUUUAAAAUGUGAUAAUUAUUUAGAUAAAAUUCUUAAAAGCCCAUUAGACUCAUUCAUGUUAAUUUUAGGCAAAAAUAUGGUCAUUUACCUAGAUUAUCAAGAUAAUUACUCCAAUGUGCACUUAACAAGGAAGCAUAGUUCUCCCUAUAUUUACU
rnacentral:lncRNA from 1 species